rnacentral:rRNA from 1 species
UACAGAGGUCUCAAGCGUUGUUCGGAUUCAUUGGGCGUAAAGCGCACGUAGGCGGAUUGUUAAGUCAGGGGUGAAAUCCUGGAGCUCAACUCCAGAACUGCCUUUGAUACUGAAGAUCUUGAGUUCGGGAGAGGUGAGUGGAACUGCGAGUGUAGAGGUGAAAUUCGUAGAUAUUCGCAAGAACACCAGUGGCGAAGGCGGCUCACUGGCCCGGUACUGACGCUGAGGUGCGAAAGCGUGGGGAGCAAACAGG